rnacentral:lncRNA from 10 species
GGUCGUUGGGAUGUUUAAAACUCUCCCUAGGAAUUCCAAUGUGCAGCCAAGUUUGCAACUACACGGAGCCAGAAAAACAGAGAGAGAAGAAGGAGAGUAAAGGGAGGAGGAGGAGGAGAAAAGAAGAAAGCAGAGAAGAAGGGACAGAGAAAAAAAGGAAGUUGGUUCUAACGUUUCUCUAACAACUGGCUUCAGUGAAACACUCCCACCUUGUGGAUUUUUAGGUUAUUGAAAUUAACCAGUCUUCUGGGUGCAGCACACCAACAUGGCACAUGUAUACAUAUGUAACAAACCUGCACUUUGUGCACAUGUACCCUAAAACUUAAAGUAUAAUAAAAAAUAAAAUAAAAAGCUACACAAAUUUAAAAAAAAAGAAAUCAACCUAAUUCCUAGAUUACCACCUCUUGAUUCAAAUGCUUUAAAUCUAGGCUUUUCAUCUGAGUCUUUCUUUUUAGUUAUUCUGUUUACCUUCAAAACACUCCUGCUUUGAAUCAUUCAAAAUCUACCUCCCUCCCUCUGUUUGACUACCAUCAAUUUUUUUGCUCAUUCCUAAUGCAUUAAUCUAUUAGCUGUGAAUAUCCAAAAACCCUCAUUUCACUGAAUCUUUGACAGACCCCUUUGCAUCCUCUUGUUCUUCUAAUUAUUUCCUCAGAAACUUUAUGUUCUCUUUUC